GGAGAGGUGCGUGAGCGGUUGAAACGAGCGGUCUUGAAAACCGCCAGGGGUGCAAGCUCCUCGUGGGUUCGAAUCCCACCCUCUCCGCCA
rnacentral:tRNA from 1 species